rnacentral:tRNA from 1 species
GAAAUAUUUUAUAUUAAGUUACUAACUUAAUUUUAAGUGAUUAAUUUCAUUUAUAUUUCU